UACAGAGGUCUCGAGCGUUGUUCGGAUUCAUUGGGCGUAAAGGGUGCGUAGGCGGCGAGGUAAGUCGGAUGUGAAAUCCCGGGGCUCAACCCCGGAACUGCAUUCGAUACUGCCUUGCUCGAGUACUGGAGAGGAGACUGGAAUUUACGGUGUAGCAGUGAAAUGCGUAGAUAUCGUAAGGAAGACCAGUGGCGAAGGCGAGUCUCUGGACAUUUCCUGACGCUGAGGCACGAAAGCCAGGGGAGCAAACGGG
rnacentral:rRNA from 1 species